rnacentral:rRNA from 2 species
AAUACCAUGCAGUCGAACGAUGAAGCCCAGCUUGCUGGGUGGAUUAGUGGCGAACGGGUGAGUAACACGUGAGUAACCUGCCCUUAACUCUGGGAUAAGCCUGGGAAACUGGGUCUAAUACCGGAUAGGAGCGUCCACCGCAUGGUGGGUGUUGGAAAGAUUUAUCGGUUUUGGAUGGACUCGCGGCCUAUCAGCUUGUUGGUGAGGUAAUGGCUCACCAAGGCGACGACGGGUAGCCGGCCUGAGAGGGUGACCGGCCACACUGGGACUGAGACACGGCCCAGACUCCUACGGGAGGCAGCAGUGGGGAAUAUUGCACAAUGGGCGAAAGCCUGAUGCAGCGACGCCGCGUGAGGGAUGACGGCCUUCGGGUUGUAAACCUCUUUCAGUAGGGAAGAAGCGAAAGUGACGGUACCUGCAGAAGAAGCACCGGCUAACUACGUGCCAGCAGCCGCGGUAAUACGUAGGGUGCGAGCGUUAUCCGGAAUUAUUGGGCGUAAAGAGCUCGUAGGCGGUUUGUCGCGUCUGUCGUGAAAGUCCGGGGCUUAACCCCGGAUCUGCGGUGGGUACGGGCAGACUAGAGUGCAGUAGGGGAGACUGGAAUUCCUGGUGUAGCGGUGGAAUGCGCAGAUAUCAGGAGGAACACCGAUGGCGAAGGCAGGUCUCUGGGCUGUAACUGACGCUGAGGAGCGAAAGCAUGGGGAGCGAACAGGAUUAGAUACCCUGGUAGUCCAUGCCGUAAACGUUGGGCACUAGGUGUGGGGACCAUUCCACGGUUUCCGCGCCGCAGCUAACGCAUUAAGUGCCCCGCCUGGGGAGUACGGCCGCAAGGCUAAAACUCAAAGGAAUUGACGGGGGCCCGCACAAGCGGCGGAGCAUGCGGAUUAAUUCGAUGCAACGCGAAGAACCUUACCAAGGCUUGACAUGUUCUCGAUCGCCGUAGAGAUACGGUUUCCCCUUUGGGGCGGGUUCACAGGUGGUGCAUGGGUUGUCGUCAGCUCGUGUCGUGAGAUGUUGGGUUAAGUCCCGCAA